rnacentral:lncRNA from 1 species
GAUCCUUGUUUGAAGUCUGAAGCUACCCAUGAUUAGGCCAUUCUCUGUGGUGCACCACCAUUUUUCAAGUAUUUGAAAACAGUUAUGUUCCAUUUCAAGUUGUUCCCCCAGGCUAAACAUCUUCAAGUGCCCCAGAAUGACACUGUUUCUAGAUCUUUACCACCAUAUUAUUUCCUAACCUCUAAGUGCUCUCUAAUUUAUUAACGUCUUUUUAAAAUUGUGGCAACCAAGCCAGCAGGUUAUGUUCCCGUUAAUGUUCUUUUAGCAGCCUGGUUAGUGCACAUGGAGGUUGUGGUCAAGUAAAAUGCCAGGCUGGCAGGCCUUGACCUCAGAUCCUUAGCUGCUAAUAGAUAGUCUAGAUAAUACUAACUCAAUAACUAUAUUGGAAAUGAUGUGGGCUUUUUCCUUCACAAAUGUAAAAAUGUUUUUCAUUUUCCUGAUGGCAUCCAAGAUUAUACUUAAAUUUUAAAUACAAUUUUAUAAAAAUUAUGGAAACCUAUGGAUAAGGAUUAUAAGAGAACACGGGCAAAUAAAAACAGCUUAUUUGAUAAGGUGAUGGGGUUUUAAAUGCCUUAGAUUAGAGGCUCUGGAAUUAGAACUGCCUAUAUUUGCAUCCAAAUAGUAAGCCCCUCUUAAUAGCUGUGUGACACUAGGUAAGUUAAUUAACUUCUUUAUGCUUUUAUUUCCUCAUUUAAAAGAUGGAAAUAAAAAGAGUACCUUCCUUCUAAGGUGGUUGUGAAGAUUAAAUGAUAAAGGAUGCUGAAUGCAAAGCACAAGCCAUAUACUUAGUGCUUACAAAUGUAAACAAUAAUAAUAAUUUAUUGUUAUAAUGUUUGCCUGCAAUAAACAAGUCACGUUAUUAUCUAACAUAGAAAUACCAGGUCAAGUUAAAGACUGCAGAAAUUUGAAAUUCUCUACGGACUCUUUUAGGAAGCACAGUUUACGAGAAAUGUUGAAUUAUCUAUUCAACUUUAAAUACAGCUCAAUAAAAAUUAUGGAAGCCUAUGGAAAAGGAUUAUAAGAGAACGCAGGCAAAUAAAAACAGCUUAUUUCAAGAAUCAGCUCACACAUAACUUCACAUAUUUUCUUCCCCUUUUUUCAUUCCCUAACCCAGCAAAAACCAUCCCUGGCUCCUUUGUCCUAACCACUCUGUGUUCUACAUUCUAGUCAUUUGUGUAAGACUCUUCUACUAAGCCCUGAAUUCUUUGAAGGUGAGGACUACGCCCUAUGGAACUCUGGAUCCUCAGUGACAACCCAUAGUUCGACAUUAGUCUCAUAAGAAACAUAGCUGGAUCCUUCUUCACAGCUACAUCUAGCAAAUAAUAAAGGAAGCCUCCUGCCCUGGUAAACUUGGUGAGUAUCUCAUCACUGUCAGUUGUCAUCAGGCCAAGUAUCUGCAAACUACCAGAUGGGGAUAAGGAGGUAAAAUCUUCUUACUUUUGUUAAUUAUGCAAUUAGUAAAAUUAAUAAAUUAAGGAAAAUGGUAGAAAAUGAUGGGUAUACUGUGCACUAACUUGUGAGAAAGUAUAAACAGAUGGCUGUGAAAUAAAAUAUAGACCUCCCAGGUUAACAGUUUCUUCUUGGCAGGGGCUUCUGAUCAUUACUAUAAUAUAACCCAAGGGAGAGUGGGUAUCUUGGGAAAGAGGAUUCUCAGAAGAUGAGUUUGGGCAUUAUUGACAGGUGCAUCUUUUCUUGGCCAGAAAGAAACAUAUUCAACCCCUGGAUGCUUUAGAUCCACAGAUACUAGAAUUAUUCUAAGAGAUUAUUUAGUCAACUGUCCACCUACCUCACCACCAAUUUUACAAAUGAGGAUAUAGCCCCACAGAGGCCAAAGUCACAUGUAGCCAGUGACAACGGUGAAGCUUCUGGAUAAAUUGCAGUAAAUCAAUCUAUUUAAAAACUGCCAGAAGGCUUUCUUCUAGCUCUACAAUUUUAGGAUGAGGUUCAAUGUGUUAACAGGUGCAAUGAUCAAAUAUCAUUUGCCUAUGAUUCAACCUAACACAUCCUGAGGAUCUGCUAAAAGAAUCCCCUCACUAUUUAGCUUAUUUUCUUAAAAUAAGCAAUACAUGUUGUCCUGUGCCAUAAAAGUCCUGGAACAUCCAUUCUGAGAUAUUUUGUUGAACGCCUUUGGAAUUUUAGAAGGCUAAACCAAAUUUCUUUGUAUCAUUUGUUUAUUCAGUUAAUGAAAUUGUGUCACUUAUAAAGGCCCAGGCAGAUCCAGAUUUAUAUGGAGUUAAGUGAGAAUCAUAAUUUCUGCCAGAGCAUAAAACAUUUAAUACAUUUAAUUCCAUGAACUAAUUGAAAACAGUAACAGCAAGGUUUUGUAGGCUGGUACCUUUUUUGGAAGAGAAAUGCAUUCUGGUAUGCAAAACAUUUUGCAAAAUUAAGCACAUAUUAGAAACACAUGAAGCAUAUUACAUGCCGACUUUAUUAAGAAGGGUCAAUCCAAACAUAAAAAUAAAAUAAAAGAUUUUCCAUCUCACAAAGUAGUAACAGAUGAAAGCUGUAUCGGAACGUGAAUUUUUAGUGAAGAAAAAACUCCUCAAUAUCUGUCCUUAGGAAACUAAAUUCAAUAAUUUUCAGUAAGGCCACUGCCCUAAUUAUGCUUGACAAGCUAAUAAAGAGAAGUGAGUGUAAAAACUAUCAGAAGCUAGCACAUUUAGAGCCCUAUGUAUAAUGAGUAAUCAUUACUAUUAUGGACUGAAUAUUUGUGUCCCCGCAAAAUUUGUAUUUGAAAUCUAAUUCCCAAUGUGAUAGUAUUUGGAGGUGGGGUCUUUGGAGAGUAAUUAGAUGAUGAAGGUGAAGCCUUCAUGAAUGGGAUUAGUGUCCUUAUAAGAAGAGACCAGAGAGCUAGCUCAAUCUCCUUUUGCCACAUGAAAAUGCAGCUAGAAGUUGGCAGUCUGCAAAAGCAAAGUAGGCCCUAACUAGAAUCUGAUCAUUCUGGCGGCCUGAUCUCAGACUUCCAGUUUCCAAAGCUGUGAAAAAUAAAUUUCUGUUGUUUAUAAGCCACCUAGUCUAUGGUACUUUGUUUUAUCAGCUAAAACUAAGAAAAUGACUGAUAAAAAUGUUCUUUCUUGUUCGAGGUGGUCUGGGGACAAAACCCAGUUAACCUCUGUGGGUGGUGAUUCCUUUAAUAGCAUUUUUAUCUUUACUGUUAUUUGUUUCAAAGGCUAUGACCCCACAUAGCAUGACUCUACCCAGUGACAACCAUUGCAGAGAUUCUCAUUGAUGAGUUGCUUGCAUUCUAAGGAGAUCCUUAAAAGCCAGCUGCAACCACAGUCCAAGCAAAUCCUAAUUCCUUCCCUGCAGCAAAGGCACACUCUCCUGUGAAGAAGGGUUUCCUCCUAACGUGGUACAGUUGCCCAAACUCCCCAGAUGGCGUUGCUGGAAAGGUUAUUAUUGGUUUAUGCACAGAAUCUGCAAAGAUACAUAUAUGGAUAUGGAUUCUGCAAAAACAAGAUGGAAG